rnacentral:misc_RNA from 1 species
GCGUCCCCAAUCUAUAAAUGCCAAGCAAAAUCAAUUGCCUAGUGUAAGUGCCUCACCUUCUGCAACAACUGGAUGGUAUUCAAGUAUUGCAUCAGGUGUUGAAAGUGUAAGGUCAUUACUUCCAAAUCAGAGCACUGGAAGUCUUGGUUUGGUAAAUCAGAAUACAGAGCAAUUCUACCAUCCUGCUUCAUAUAAAGAAAGCCCAUUCCUGUUUGAUGGUCCUAUUGAUUCCACAUCUGAAGGUUUGGGAGGUUCAUGGGGCACAAUGCGCAAAUCUCCUUCUUUUGCAGCUCCAUACGAGCCUCAGGGUUCGUUUGGUACAAUGAAUGCAUCUUCACCAUCACUUGCAGCUCCAUCAUCACUUGGUCUAUUUUCUGGUUGGGGCUCAGCAGGA